ACUGACUUAGAAGGGCUGGGGCAUCUAUGCCAGGCUAACCUUUAUAACUUUAAAACCAUAAACCUUAUAAAGCCAUAACCUUAAAAACACAUAUGUGUUGUUUUCUUGUGCAUGCAAUCUUUUUAAAAAUUAAACUAACAUAUUUAUGUAUUACUGGAAUAGCUCCUUAUAUUAUUUGGCCUUUUUUUCCUCUGCACAGCUAGACUGUAUACUCAAAAGACAUCAGAACUGUGUUUAUUAUCUUUAUCUAAUAAAAUCUAUCAAAUUGGGGGGGAGGGAGGAUUAGAGAGAUGGCUGAACAGUUACGAACACUGGUUGCUCUUCCAGAAGUCCCGAGAUCAAUUCCAAGCACCCACAUGGUGACUCAUGACUAUAAUAUAGCACUACCUUAAUAUAAUUUAUAAAUGACUGAGACUUUUCAUUAUAUUAAUACAUUUCAUUAUAUGAGUUCUCAACCCUUGAAACAGGUCUCCAGGAACCAUCUAAGGAUCUUUGAUUGUCCGAUUUUUACAUCAUCACUGAAAGAAAAGAAAGCCUUGUGGUUAUCAUAGGAACUGUCUCAUAUACCACAAAAAUCUACCAGCAAUAUAGGAAAUCUUUAAGAGUUCAUCUUCUGAUGCCAAAUGUGGCCCACUCCAGUUCUACAAGCAAAUCUGACAGAAGAGAGCACCUGUGUCCACCAGCUCACACAUACAAGAGUGACUUGCUUUCUACAUGCCUUAACUGUGCCCUCUGUUGUAUCUACUAUGAUAAACCAGUAGCAAGGACAUUACUGUCGUGAGAAAUGGAGAACAUAACAGACUAAGGUGAUGGAAGGAAAGAGUCUUGUCAACAUCUUGGCCUUGCAGUCUCCAGCUUCCACACUGUCAAGAAAUGAGUAUCUAUUGUUUAAUCAAAAAAGUGUUUUCUGCUCUUAAGCAAAAGGACAAUGCUGUACUUACCUUCCAGCUGUCCCCUUCUCUGCCCUCAGACUGUGACAAUCAUGUUUUGACCACAAGAACAAGAUGUAAGACCCAAGGAGAGAGGGGGAGAGGGAGGAUGGCUCAUGGACACCAAAAUACGGACAGAAGUAAUAAAUUGUUCUGUUCUACAAAACAAUAGAAUAGGUGUCCCCACAGUAACUGCUGCCAUAGUCCAUAAAAGUCACUAGAAGGGAGAUGUUUGUUGGCUUCGAACACAAAGCAACAAUGACAGAAAGAGGAACAGCUCUGAUUUGAUUAGUGCCUGUGGUACAGACACAUGUAUUGAAAUGUCACUUGACCUGCUGGUCCAGCUCAGUGAGAGCCCAGUGCUUUUUACUUGAAGUCUGGAAAGCUGGCCGAUUUGUAUUGUUGACAAUGUUGGGGACAAAGAGUAGAUGAUGAAGAAUUAAAGACGUGGUUGCAUCAGAAUUGUAGUACUUGGAGACUUGUUAUUCCCUCUGAGUGUCCUACUUCCCUGCGGGGGUCUCGGUCCACCAUGGCCCACAAAGUGAUGUGGGAGGCAAGAAGGUAGUAAGAUCAACACAACUCAGUAGCUGGAGUUCAUUCAAACUUCAGGAGUCUCCCCCUGAGUAGCUUAUUUCAGGCACACUUAAGCAGGGCACAAUUUGGUGAAAAUCUUCCUCACAGUAACUAAUUCUGUAUGCACAAUAAAGUUUGAGAUGUGACUACAUUGAAGCUCUUUAUGAAGUAGAUAUGACGUCUUCCAUAAAGACGGCUUCUAUAGAUUGACAGGCGCAUGAUAGGGGUCUGGGGGAGGCUCCAGUGUGGUCUUGACACACGAAUACUGCAAAGGUGGCCGGGCUGUCAACCAUCUCUGCUCCCAGCCUUCUGUGCAGAUAAAGAGGUUAUGCAUCCCUGCCUUAGAAAGAACCUCCGUGUGUGUUUAACAUUCUUGUUUCCUUUGGUGCUUAACUGUGAGCACGAGGACUCCAUGCUCCUAC
rnacentral:lncRNA from 1 species